rnacentral:rRNA from 1 species
UGGCGGAAUGCUUUACACAUGCAAGUCGAACGGCAGCACGGGGCAACCUGGUGGCGAGUGGCAAACGGGUGAGUAAUACAUCGGAACGUGCCCAAUCGUGGGGGAUAACGUAGCGAAAGUUACGCUAAUACCGCAUACGAUCUACGGAUGAAAGCGGGGGAUCGCAAGACCUCGCGCGAAUGGAGCGGGCGAUGUCAGAUUAGGUAGUUGGUGGGGUAAAGGCUCACCAAGCCGACGAUCUGUAGCUGGUCUGAGAGGACGACCAGCCACACUGGGACUGAGACACGGCCCAGACUCCUACGGGAGGCAGCAGUGGGGAAUUUUGGACAAUGGGCGCAAGCCUGAUCCAGCCAUUCCGCGUGCAGGAUGAAGGCCUUCGGGUUGUAAACUGC